rnacentral:rRNA from 1 species
AUUGAACGCUGGCGGCAUGCUUUACACAUGCAAGUCGAACGGCAGCACGGGGGCAACCCUGGUGGCGAGUGGCGAACGGGUGAGUAAUAUAUCGGAACGUACCCGGAAAUGGGGGAUAACGUAGCGAAAGUUACGCUAAUACCGCAUAUGCCCUAAGGGGGAAAGCGGGGGAUUCGCAAGAACCUCGCGUUUUCGGAGCGGCCGAUAUCGGAUUAGCUAGUAGGUGAGGUAAAGGCUCACCUAGGCGACGAUCCGUAGCUGGUCUGAGAGGACGACCAGCCACACUGGAACUGAGACACGGUCCAGACUCCUACGGGAGGCAGCAGUGGGGAAUUUUGGACAAUGGGCGAAAGCCUGAUCCAGCCAUGCCGCGUGCAGGAAGAAGGCCUUCGGGUUGUAAACUGCUUUAGUCUAGGAAAAAGGGGUGCGAGGUUAAUACCCUCGUGCUUUGAUGGUACUGGAAGAAUAAGCACCGGCUAACUACGUG